AGAAAAUAGUGGAAGAAUGGUAAUGCCAGCAUGGCCACCAAUAACAGGCACAUUAACCUCGGCUACUGGAACAUUUGCUUUCCCAGCGUAGAAGGUCUUAGCUCUGACAACAUCUAGAGUAGUAACACCAAACAAUUUCUUCUCAUCGUAAGUACCAGCUUUCUUGAAAACCUCAGCAGCAAUUGGGACAGUUGAGUUGACGGGGUUACUGAUCAUGUUAAUGAGUGCAU
rnacentral:misc_RNA from 1 species